rnacentral:rRNA from 1 species
GACGAACGCUGGCGGCGUGCUUAACACAUGCAAGUCGAACGAAGUGGCGAACGGGUGAGUAACGCGUAAUCAACCUGCCCUUCAGAGGGGGACAACAGUUGGAAACGACUGCUCAUACCGCAUACUGAAGGAGGGGAGUGCGUCUGUUUAGCUAGUGGGAGGGGUAACGGCCAACCAAGACGAGGAUCAGUAGCCGGUCUGAGAGGAUGAAUGGCCACAUUGUGACUGAGACACGGCCCGGACUCCUACGGGAGUCAGCAGUGGGGAAUCUUCCGAAAUUGACGAAAGUCUGACGGAGCAACGCCGCGUGAGUGAUGACGGCCUGCGGGUUGUAAAGCUCUGUUAAUCGGGACGCGGUACCGGAAUAGAAAGCCACGGCUAACUACGUGCCAGCAGCCGCGGUAAUAC